CACGUCCUACGGGGGGCAGCAGUGAGGAAUAUUGGUCAAUGGGCGGAAGCCUGAACCAGCCACGUCGCGUGAGGGAAUAAGGCCCUACGGGUCGUAAACCUCUUUUGCCGGGGAGCAAGGGCGGGGACGUGUCCCGGCCCGGAGAGUACCCGGAGAAAAAGCAUCGGCUAAUUCCGUGCCAGCAGCCGCGGUAAUACGGAGGAUGCGAGCGUUAUCCGGAUUUAUUGGGUUUAAAGGGUGCGUAGGCGGUCUUUUAAGUCAGCGGUAAAAAUUCGGGGCUCAACCCCGUCCGGUCGUCGAAACUG
rnacentral:rRNA from 1 species